CAGUCGCCGCGGGAAUACGAAGGGGGCUAGCGUUGUUCGGAAUUACUGGGCGUAAAGCGCUCGUAGGCGGAUAUUUAAGUCAGGGGUGAAAUCCCGCAGCUCAACUGCGGAACUGCCUUUGAUACUGGGUAUCUUGAGUAUGGAAGAGGUUAGUGGAAUUGCGAGUGUAGAGGUGAAAUUCGUAGAUAUUCGCAGGAACACCAGUGGCGAAGGCGGCUAACUGGUCCAUAACUGACGCUGAGGUGCGAAAGCGUGGGGAGCAAACAGGAUUAGAUACCCGAGUAGUCCCUGUCUCUUAUAA
rnacentral:rRNA from 1 species